CCAGGCGCCCUCGGACACAACUUUUCCUUGAGGUUCCCCGUAGAGCUACGGCCACAUGUUGCAUGUGUCCGAAGCCCUAAAGAAUCACAUCCUGUGACCACGAUCUGUCGGAACUCGGCCCAGAUGUUCUUGACAUGAGCAAGAGAAGUCUAUGGAGUCAUUUUACCCAAAAGAAUAGGAAGAUCGGCCUGGAGGUGUACCUGUCUUGGACAUCAGCAAAAGCAGCCUAUGUGUCAUCUGCUGUAUGCUGAGUUGCCGUCGCAGCACACAGCAGGAGGAAUCGCUCCUUUUUCUCAUGAUCGCAGGAAUGAAUCUGGUAUUUAGAUUCGCCCAAAGUCACCAGCAGAAACAAGCCAGCUAAUUGAGCAAGAUGUAUUCUCAUAAUGUAAAUGAUUUGAAACAAUAAAGAAUUCAAUUACUAUCCAA